GAUCCUUCAUGGCUCAGGAUGAACGCUGGCGGCGUGCCUAACACAUGCAAGUCGAACGGAGUUAUUUUGGUGAAGUUUUCGGAUGGAUCUGAUUUAACUUAGUGGCGGACGGGUGAGUAAUGCGUGAGCAACCUGCCCUUCAGAGGGGGACAACAGUUGGAAACGACUGCUAAUACCGCAUAAUGUAUUCGGGAGGCAUCUUCUGGAUACCAAAGGAGAAAUCCGCUGAUGGAUGGGCU
rnacentral:rRNA from 1 species